CAACUUGUGUCGCACUACAAUGAGGGUGAUGAUGUGCCACCGUCUUUUGAAUUUGAGUUGCUUUUUGGCCAUUUUCCUCUUUGGCAACUCUACCAUUUGGAGAAAUGCUGUAGGUGCUGAAUGUGUAUUUCCUUUUAUGUAUAAACAUGUUGAGUACAUGGAAUGCACCACCAUUGAUUACCAUAACAUUCCAUGGUGUGGAAAAGUAUACUUACCU